GCAACUCGACUACAUGAAGCUGGAAUCGCUAGUAAUCGCAGAUCAGAAUGCUGCGGUGAAUACGUUCCCGGGUCUUGUACACACCGCCCGUCACACCAUGGGAGUUGGGAAUGCCCGAAGCCGGUGGCCUAACCGCAAGGGAGGAGCUGUCGAAGGCAGGCCCGAUAACUGGGGCGAAGUCGUAACAAGGUACC
rnacentral:rRNA from 1 species